AGCUUUGUGCCGUGGCAGUAUCAUAGCCAAUGAGGUUCAUCUGAGGCGCAAUUAUUGCUAAUUGAAAACUUUUCCAAAUACCCUGCCAUGACAACUUGAAAUGCAGUCAGCAUUGGCAAUUUUUGACAGUCUCUAUGGAGG
rnacentral:snRNA from 1 species